GCCGGGUGGCAGUGGCACAUGCCUGUAGUCCCAGCUACUCAGGAGGCUGAGGUGGGAGGAUCACUUGAGCCCAGGAGUUCUGGGCUGUAGUGCACUAUGCCGAUCAGGUGUCCGCACUAAGUUAGGCAUCAAUAUGGUAACCUCCCAGGAGCAGGGGACCACCAGGCUGUCUAAAGAGGGGUGAACCGGCCCAGGUCAGAAACACAGCAGGUCAAAACUCCUGUGCUGAUCAAUAGUGGGAUCGUGCCUGUGAACAGCCACUGCACUCCAGCCUGGGCAACACAGCAAGACCCCAUCUCU
rnacentral:SRP_RNA from 1 species